CCCACUACAUUUAUGCUUUUUUCAUUAUUCUUUUUUAGUUCUCCCAAGCCCAAACCGACGGCGUCGUCAAAAGGAGAAAGAAAGCCGCCUGCCUCCCAGCCCCCUCUGUCACGUACUUGCGCGUCAUUUCCGCAAGACCUAUACGCACCGUUUUAUACACAGACAACAUAAUCUUUUUCUCUAUUGCAUUAAUCAUACGGUGACUCAU
rnacentral:lncRNA from 1 species